AAUAGGUUUGGUCCUAGCCUUUCUAUUAGCUCUCAGUGAAAUUACACAUGCAAGCAUCCACAAUCCUGUGAAAAUGCCCUCUAGACCACUAUAACAUGAGGAGCGAGUAUCAAGCACGCACAUAUGCAGCUCAAAACACUUUGCUUAGCCACGCCCCCACGGGAGACAGCAGUGACAAACCUUUAGCAAUGAACGAAAGUUCAACUAAGUUACACUAAUCAUAAGAGUUGGUCAAUUUCGUGCCAGCCACCGCGGCCAUACGAUUGACUCAAGUUAAUAGAGUUCGGCGUAAAGAGUGUUUAAGAUUUAUUCCCUAAUAAAGCUAACCUAUAACUAAGUUGUAGAAAACUCCAGUUAUAGUAAAAUACUUUACGAAAGUGGCUUUAAUACUCUGAAUACACUAUAGCUAAGGCACAAACUGGGAUUAGAUACCCCACUAUGCUUAGCCCUAAACUUCAAUAACUAAAUUAACAAAGUUUUUCGCCAGAAUACUACAAGCUACAGCUUGAAACUCAAAGGACCUGGCGGUGCUUUAUAUCCGUCUAGAGGAGCCUGUUCUAUAAUCGAUACACCCCGAUAAACCUUACCACCUCUUGCCAUCAGCCUGUAUACCGCCAUCUUCAGCAAACUCCUUAAAGACUGCAGAGUAAGCAGAAGCAUCAUCAUAAAAACGUUAGGUCAAGGUGCAGCCAAUGAAGUGGAAAGAAAUGGGCUACAUUUUCUAAUCUAGAAAACCACACACGAUAGCCUUUAUGAAACCUAAAGGCCCAAGGUGGAUUUAGCAGUAAAUUAAGAAUAGAGAGCUUGAUUGAAGCAAGGCCAUUAAGCACGCACACACCGCCCGUCACCCUCCUCAAACAUCAUAUAAAAGUAAAUUAACAGUAAACUACUUCAUACUGAUAUAGAGGGGAUAAGUCGUAACAUGGUAAGCGUACUGGAAAGUGCGCUUGGACGAAU
rnacentral:ncRNA from 2 species